AUUACAUCAUAUUGCGCACUACUGUCUACCAAAUGUAGCAAGAAAAAAAUAAGGAAAGAUGAUCCCAGGCUUCUUCAGUAACAAUUGGCUUGCAUCUUUAAUCCACUAUUUUCUUUGUAACAUGUGGGAUCCACUGUAUUCUUCGGUAAGAAUUGCCUUGCAUCUUUAAUCCACUAUCACGUGAGUGCAGGCUUCACUCACCAUUUUCAAAAUGCAAAAUUUUGCUAGUUAUACAUAAGGUUCUGAUAAGAACAAAUUACAAGGAAAGAAUGUCACUUGUCCAAGGGUAAUUUCCACCCAAAAAAUCUAGGAGCAAUCUCCAC
rnacentral:misc_RNA from 1 species